rnacentral:rRNA from 1 species
AUUGAACGCUAGCGGCAGGCCUAACACAUGCAAGUCGAACGAGUGGCGUACGGGUGAGUAAUGUCUGGGCAACUGCCUGAUGGAGGGGGAUAACUACUGGAAACGGAAGCUAAUACCGCAUACCAUCAGCUGUGCCCAGAUGGGAUUAGCUAGUUGGUGGGGUAACGGUUCACCAAGGCGACGAUCCCUAGCUGGUCUGAGAGGAUGACCGGCCAAACGGAGACGGAGAACCGGCCCAGACUCCUACGGGAGGCAGCAGUGGGGAAUAAUGGACAAUGGGAGCAAGCCUGAUGCAGCAAUGCCGCGUGUAUGAAGAAGGCAUUCGGGUUGUAAAGUACUGUCAGCGGGGAGGCGUUACCCGCAGAAGAAGCACCGGCUAAAUCCGUGCCAGCAGCCGCGGUAAUUC